UACGUAGGGGGCAAGCGUUGUCCGGAUUUAUUGGGCGUAAAGCGCGUGUAGGCGGCCAGAUAGGUCUGCUGUGAAAACUCGAGGCUCAACCUCGAGCUGUCGGCGGAAACCAUCUGGCUAGAGUCCGGAAGAGGAGAGUGGAAUUCCUGGUGUAGCGGUGAAAUGCGCAGAUAUCAGGAAGAACACCCGUGGCGAAAGCGGCUCUCUGGAACGGUACUGACGCUGAGGCGCGAAAGCGUGGGGAGCGAACAGG
rnacentral:rRNA from 1 species